AUUGAACGCUGGCGGCAUGCUUUACACAUGCAAGUCGAACGGCAGCGCGGGCUUCGGCCUGGCGGCGAGUGGCGAACGGGUGAGUAAUGCAUCGGAACGUGCCCAGUAGUGGGGGAUAGCCCGGCGAAAGCCGGAUUAAUACCGCAUACGACCUGAGGGUGAAAGCGGGGGACCGAAAGGCCUCGCGCUAUUGGAGCGGCCGAUGUCGGAUUAGCUAGUUGGUGGGGUAAAGGCUUACCAAGGCGACGAUCCGUAGCUGGUCUGAGAGGACGACCAGCCACACUGGAACUGAGACACGGCCCAGACCCCUACGGGAGGCAGGAGUGGGGAAUAUUGGACAAGGGGCGAAACCCUGAUCCAGCCAUGCCGGGGGUGGGAAGAAGGUCUUCGGAUUGUAAAGCGUUUUAGGGUGGGAGGAAGGGCAGGAAGUUAAUACCCUGGGGGUUUGACGUUACCGAAAGAAUAAGCACCGGCUAACUUCGUG
rnacentral:rRNA from 1 species